GCUAGCUACAGGCUUAACACAUGCAAGUCGAGGGGCAGCAUUUUAGUUUGCUUGCAAACUGAAGAUGGCGACCGGCGCACGGGUGAGUAACACGUAUCCAACCUGCCGAUAACUCCGGAAUAGCCUUUCGAAAGAAAGAUUAAUACCGGAUAGCAUAUGAAUAUCGCAUGAUAUUUUUAUUAAAGAAUUUCGGUUAUCGAUGGGGAUGCGUUCCAUUAGUUUGUUGGCGGGGUAACGGCCCACCAAGACUACGAUGGAUAGGGGUUCUGAGAGGAAGGUCCCCCACAUUGGAACUGAGACACGGUCCAAACUCCUACGGGAGGCAGCAGUGAGGAAUAUUGGUCAAUGGGCGAGAGCCUGAACCAGCCAAGUAGCGUGAAGGAUGAAGGCUCUAUGGGACGUAAACUUCUUUUAUAUGGGAAUAAAGUUUUCCACGUGUGGAAUUUUGUAUGUACCAUAUGAAUAAGGAUCGGCUAACUCCGUGCCAGCAGCCGCGGUAAUACGGAGGAUCCGAGCGUUAUCCGGAUUUAUUGGGUUUAAAGGGAGCGUAGGUGGACAGUUAAGUCAGUUGUGAAAGUUUGCGGCUCAACCGUAAAAUUGCAGUUGAUACUGGCUGUCUUGAGUACAGUAGAGGUGGGCGGAAUUCGUGGUGUAGCGGUGAAAUGCUUAGAUAUCACGAAGAACUCCGAUUGCGAAGGCAGCUCACUGGACUGCAACUGACACUGAUGCUCGAAAGUGUGGGUAUCAAACAGGAUUAGAUACCCUGGUAGUCCACACAGUAAACGAUGAAUACUCGCUGUUUGCGAUAUACAGUAAGCGGCCAAGCGAAAGCAUUAAGUAUUCCACCUGGGGAGUACGCCGGCAACGGUGAAACUCAAAGGAAUUGACGGGGGCCCGCACAAGCGGAGGAACAUGUGGUUUAAUUGGAUGAUACGCGAGGAUCCUUACCUGGGCUUAAAUUGCAUUUGAAUAUAUUGGAAACAGUAUAGCCGUAAGGCAAAUGUGAAGGUGCUGCAUGGUUGUCGUCAGCUCGUGCCGUGAGGUGUCGGCUUAAGUGCCAUAACGAGCGCAACCCUUAUCUUUAGUUACUAACAGGUCAUGCUGAGGACUCUAGAGAGACUGCCGUCGUAAGAUGUGAGGAAGGUGGGGAUGACGUCAAAUCAGCACGGCCCUUACGUCCGGGGCUACACACGUGUUACAAUGGGGGGUACAGAAGGCAGCUACAUGGUGACAGGAUGCUAAUCCCAAAAGCCUCUCUCAGUUCGGAUCGAAGUUUGCAACCCGACUUUGUGAAGCUGGAUUCGUUAGUAAUCGCGCAUCAGCCAUGGCGCGGUGAAUACGUUCCCGGGCCUUGUACACACCGCCCGUCAAGCCAUGAAAGCCGGGGGUACCUGAAGUACGUAACCGCAAGGAGCGUCCUAGGGUAAAACUGGUAAU
rnacentral:rRNA from 1 species